AAAAUAUGACCCUUAUGUAUUCUAUUCCGGAAAACAUGCUAAUGGUCUGCAUAUAUGUUGAUGACAUGUUGAUAAGCUGUAAGAAUAAGACACAAGAAUAAAUAAAUUAAAGGAAUUUCUGCAGAAAAGUGUUGAAAUUAAAUCCCUGAGGGAAGCGUCUUGUUGUCUAAUUAAAUUUAUCAAAAAAAAGAUGGAAAAAUUAUAAUUCGUCAGUCUAGUUCUCUUAGUUUCAGAUCUGUUGGAAAAAUACAGGAUGACCGAAGCAGUGUGAUUCCCAAGUAUGAUUCCCAUGAUUGAAGGAUCAAAAUUACAAAGAAGCCUCGAGUGUGAUGACAGACCAUACAAGGAAUUAAGGAGCAUUUAGAGUGGAGUCGCGUACCUAUGCGCCGAUAAAUGGCCGAAGACCUGGGAGGCACAGCGUUUUAUAGAAUUAUCCUAUCACCUUUUUCGAAUACAAUAGACAUAAUAAAUUAAUUUCUUUUUCUUUCGUAAA